UUUUUAUAGUGUAAUAUAACACAUUACGUUUUCAUCGUAAAAAUGAAGAUUAUGGCGACUCUUCUAAAAAUA
rnacentral:tRNA from 1 species